UAUUGUGCCUCCCAAAGAUGUCCCUGUGGAUCUGCACUUGAAGGCAUUCGUGGGUUACAGAAGCAGGUGACCCUUUGCAAGUCACAGUUCAUUUCAGGACAGCACUUAGAGGAGGGCAAGAUGUAUAAAUUUUCCAUAUGCCCAGUGGAUUCUUGGGGGCCUGAGAAACCAUUUAAUGGUUCUAUCUACCCAAAGUUUCUCAUGACCUUUUAUUUCCUCAGUUUGAAACCUGUAAAAAGAAAAUGGAAAAACUGAUAUGUAAGUUUAAGAUGGUUCUUUUUUUUUUUUUUUUUUUUUUUGAGACAGAUUCUAGCUUUGUCGCCCAGGCUGGAGUACAGUGGGGCAAUCCCGGUUCACUGCAACCUCUACCUCCUGGGUUCAAGCAAUUCUUCUGCCUCAGCCUCCUGAGUACUGGGACCACAGGUGCCCACCACUGCGCCCAGCUAAUUUUUGUAUUUUUAGUAGAGACAGGAGUUCACCAUGUUGGCCAGGCUGGUCUUGAACUCCUGACCUCAGGUGAUCCACCCGCCUUGGCUUCCGAAAGUGCUGGGAUUACAGGCAUGAGCCACCACGCCCGGCUAAGAUCAUUAUUUUCUGUUUUUAGUCAGGUGAUCUCAUAAUCACAAAAUGUUUAAUUGAUGAUUUGUCAAUUUGUAGUUUUGGCCACUAGAACUACAAGAGUUAGGAUGCACCUUUAUAUUACAGUCAUACAUAACCUCAGCUAGUGAAGAAAAAAACUGCUCUAUUUGUGGAAGAUAAGAUACUUUUUACAUCCCCUUUAUGAUAUUUUAAACCCUUAGUGCAUGCAGGUAUAUAUGUAGACUCAUGCUGUCUUUAAAUCCCAAACCUAAUAUAUUACUGUAGUACUUUAACCCUCAAGUGUUUUGGGGGUUCCUUCUUAAGUGAAACCCUUAAAUAUCAAUUGAUGACCCAGAAGUGGCUUUAUUUUCUGGGCCUUGCAUUUUGAAAGAACAUUCUAUACAAAACAAGUCUCUUGUGUUUCAUUGAUUGGCCAUAGCACCCAGUUUCAUGUAUUUGAAUUGACAAGACAGCUCCCUCGAUUCUCCAUGUAUGCGCUGACCAGCCUGGACCCUGCCAGUGAGCCAAUCAGUUAUGUUAACUUUACCAUUGCAGAACGGGCACAGAGGGUGAGUAUCUCGCUUUUCUCUUUCAAUGCUUUUACACAGUAGAAUCCUUUAGAUGUUAUUUCAUAGAAAGGGAAAAUUACAUUAAUGUGUUAUAUUGGUAGCAGUAAAUAUGAUAUGAAAGAAUUCUCUAACUUGGGGGUGGCUUGUAACCUGUAAUAAAAAUAUUGCUAAAAUACCUUCUCUCACUUUGAAAAAGCAUCUGAGCAAUCCUCAGUUAUUGGUGAAUUCUUACCAGUGUUUAAUUCCUCUCUUUCCGUUAUGGUCUUAGUGUGGUUGUCCUGGUGUAGUAUUUCAAGAGGAACCUGCAGCAAGAUGAAAAGAGAGUGGGACUUGGAGCUAAGAACGUUUUUUGGCUUUAAGUGCUACGUUAACUCAUUAAAUUCUUAGUGAUCUUGGGGAAUUCCCCUCACCAGUGUGAGCCUCAGUUUUCUUAUCUAAUAAGUAAGGAUAAUCUUACCCACCUUAUUGCGGGGGCCCGAGGAUUACAUGAUUGGUGUAACAGUAGCACCUUGUACAUUUGAAAGGACUAAUACCAGUGGACUUUAACCUUGGCUGGGCUUUGGAAUUCUUGGUGGGACUUUUUAAUCAUGUAGAUUCUCAGGCCCCUGCCUGGCCUGUGGAACCACAGACUCUAUAGGUGGGCCCUUCCAGAAGGCCUCAUGGGUGGUUCUCAUGUGGAACCUGUGUUGCAAGCCACUGCAUGGUGUUACUGCUAUUAACAUUAAAACUUAUAUUUUCCUUAUUGUGUGGAUAUAUCUGUGGUGUUUGCCCAUGUAUACUUCAUUUUACAUUUCUUAAAGAAUAGAAUGGAAUGGUUUUAAGCACGCUACAUUGUCCAGGUUAUACCCACAGAAGAGCUGUUGUGUAACAGCAUCAGCAUCAUACCUGAAUCAUUUGUACAUUGCAUAUAAGACUAUGUCUAAGUAGAAGAUGCUAUGAAAUCAUGUCUGCUGUGGGGCCAGGCAUAAUUAUGAAUGUUACUUAAGAGCAUAGGUGAGGUGAGAAAAGGGAGGGUGACUAGUGUUUUAGUAUUUUCUUGGUGUGGGAUGAAGUAUAAUUCUUUUUUUUUUUUCUCAACAAAGCAGUAAAAAUAGAAAGAAGGAGAACUCUUCCCUCAAGAAUGGCUGUACCUUCAUAUCUAGAGGCACAUUAAAAAAAAGAAUGUCUGUACCUUAAAGAUGGAGGUCAUUUCAUUGUGUUCAUUUUCAAGGUUGUCGUAUGGCUCGGUCAGAACUUUCUGUUACCAGAAGACACUCACAUUCAGAACGCUCCAUUUCAAGUGUGUUUCACAUCUUUACGGAAUGGUGGCCACCUGCAUAUAAAAAUAAAACUUAGUGGAGAGAUCACUAUAAAUACUGAUGAUAUUGAUUUGGCUGGUGAUAUCAUCCAGUCAAUGGCAUCAUUUUUUGCUAUUGAAGACCUUCAAGUAGAAGCGGAUUUUCCUGUCUAUUUUGAGGAAUUACAAAAGGUGCUAGUUAAGGUGAGGGAAUGCGGUAGAUGCAUUUGUGAGAAUGUGGUAGUCUAAUAAUAUUUGAGGAGAUUAAUGGUAUACAAAUGUACUUAUGUUAUAGUGAUGUUUUCAAGAAUUUUUGCAAUUCUUGAAGUAAAAAUUGAACUAGUACUGGAAAGUUUACUACUUAAGGAUUUAUUUUAUAAAAGGAAGUGUUUAGCUCCUGAGCACCAUGCUUGCUUUGUUUGGUUUAAAGUGAUGCAUUUAAAUAUUAACAUUUUCCUUUGUUAGCUCUUCAUCUUAUUUGUAGUAUCUGCUUUGGUCUUCAGUUUGGGUCUUUCCAAAAACCCAAAUUCAAGAUAAAAGAGCAAAAUAAAGAUGAUUCUGAUUGGCCCCAAAGUAUACAAUAUUCCCACUGCAAAUCCCUAAAAUAUUAAUAUGUGUGUUGUGGGGGCUCCUGGUGCUAAAGCAUGGGGAAGAUUCACAUGGAGUGUCCUGUUGAAAUUGGAGGCAGCACAGAUGAGCUAACUUGUUGAGACAGAGAUGAAAUAACGGGAAGUAGCUUAAUUGGUAUAAGCGAACAGGGGAAAGAAGGGGGUCUCUGUAUCUGGUAAAUAGUGUCUUUUCAUUUUUCUGGGUUCAAGAAGUUUGUGAGGCCUUUUUCAUUCCUGAGUGUUCAUGGUCUCCAGGUGGAUGAAUAUCAUUCAGUGCAUCAGAAGCUCAGUGCUGAUAUGGCUGAUCAUUCUAAUUUGAUCCGAAGUUUGCUGGUCGGAGCUGAGGAUGCUCGUCUGAUGAGGGACAUGAAAACAAUGAAGAGUCGUUAUAUGGAACUCUAUGACCUUAAUAGAGACUUGCUAAAUGGAUAUAAAAUUCGCUGUAACAAUCACACAGAGCUGUUGGGAAACCUCAAAGCAGUAAAUCAAGCAAUUCAAAGAGCAGGUCGUCUGCGGGUUGGAAAACCAAAGAACCAGGUGAUCACUGCUUGUCGGGAUGCAAUUCGAAGCAAUAACAUCAACACACUGUUCAAAAUCAUGCGAGUGGGGACAGCUUCUUCCUAGGAGAGGAAAAUACAGGUCAUGAAGUUCCUGGCAAAGAUUUUCUGUUAAAAACCUAUGCUGGUUUGCUUUGGAUCACACCCUGGUGAACCCUGGGUGCUAAGAACGAAAAUAACCUUGGUGAGUUGUACAAAUUAAAGACAGAACUACAUGUGAAGAUAGACUUGCUUUCUAUUUUUAAAUCAGUAGUAGUACUGUUGCUGAAUAAUACUAGGUUUUUAUGGAAUAGGAUGAAUGCUUUUGAAGUAUUAGGGCUUCAGAGUCCAAUUUUUGCUUAUUUAUGGUAUAUAAAUACAUAUUUUUUUCUUGAAAUUGCAAUUGAGUUUGUACUUUUCAAAUAGAUUAUCUACUUUUUCAUUAAAAUGUAAAGAUGUU
rnacentral:sRNA from 1 species